AAUACACUGUAAUUCCACUAAAAGUACACUGUAAUUCCACUAAAAACACACAAAAGAAUUGCAUUACAAUUCCACUGAGAAAGUACCAAAUUUAUCCCUGGAGAAGCGCCACCAGAGAGAGCAAUUCAUCCAUGAUCUAGAACACAAACAUGGCUGGAGAAGCAAAAAAAAACACACGGGUAAACACCACCCCUCCUGUGCAUUCAUCACCCCCUGUCGUCUCUCUCUUGCCGGAACAAAUCUGGAAGAAAGAACAGACCUGUAGUGGAUCAUCAACAUAGGCUAAGUUAAGCCAAAAUCUACACAGAUCGAAAAUAGGAACAAAAUCACGCAAAAGCAUGAACCAAGAGAAACCCUAGGAAGAACUAGGAUAUGGUUGCAUGAACUAGUAGUCUAUGAUCACAGGAAAACUGAAAACUAGAUGCCCAGAUCAUAUAUUUUUGAAUUUGCAGAAAUAAACACACAACAGGGACCAAAACAUGCUCAGGAAGCUAGCAAUUCCAUUUUGGGAAAACUAGUUAAAAACAUGCAAGGGGGAGGAUUGCUUCAGUUGAGAGAAAAUAUGGCUAUUUUCACAGACUUUGGAAACUGAAAGACCAAACACUGUUAAGAGAUUUUGAUCUGCUAGUUUUAGACACUUUCUACUUGUUCUUAAAAACUACUCCGUACCUGUGAUUGAAGGACUGAAUUUAAGUAACUUUGGAAAUGUAAACUGCUAUGAUCUGAUGCUUGCUUACACUGAAUAUUGAUAGGCAUUAACAUAAGCACUAAAAAUUGAAAUUAACAGAAAAAUGACAAACAAAAAUCAGGCUAAAAACAUUCACGCUAGAAGGCACUCACACUAGUAGCAACAAACAAAACUGAUAACAUAUUUACAGUUCAGAACUGAAAGGACAAAUUUGUGACUGUUAGAUAAAAUUACUGGGACCUUCUUUGCAAAAUUACUCUGCGUUUAUUUACAGUUCAGAACUGAAUACUUGUUUGCAUUAAGAGAUAAUUUACUCAAAAUAUUGAGUGCAGGUGCCUACAAUCGAACCAAAUGCAAUGAAAUGCAGCAUCAAAGGACAGGCGAUGUACCUCAAGAAAGAUGAAGUUGAUUUCCUUAACAUAUGGCUAUCUAAUAGCAGAAAACAAUGCUGAAAACAAAAAACAAUAUCAAAAACAUGCUUUCUCUAACUAGUUUCCUGACAAAUAACAAAGUGGAUCAUACUCUUUUACUGAGCUACUUCAGGCGCAAAUGAUGUACAAGGCGUAGCUGCAUUGCAAAAAUACAUAGAAAACUAAAAUAGAGAAAAUCUACCGACACUAUUCAUCGGCUAAUGAUAUAACAUUGAUUUACUUUGUGCAGCAACAAUACGUGGAGCCUGAGCCUGACAUGACAAACUACAUGGAAUGGCAUAGUACUGACCAGAACAAUGAAUUCAAAUAUGCAGAAACACCUCCUAACACCAACGGGGAAGAGAAAAACGGUAAGCAUACAAAGCAUACAAUAAAACUCGAACCUAGCAACUGUAGGUACACAAAAUAAAGCAAUUAUAUUGUGUUGCUUGCAGGCACAAAAAUGAUCUAAUUACAUUUGAAGUGGGUGCAGGGGCAUAUAAUAAAAAUCACAGUAAAAUAUAGCUGUAACAUUUAAACCUACUUCAAUUAGAAUUGUAUUACAGAAGAUUAACUAAAGAGCCUAACAAAUAAAAAACUAUCCAAAACACGCUGGAAAAAAACAAACAGAAACUAACAUUAGCAUCAAGCAAGAAAACAUACAUAACUGGUAAAAACUAAUUUACUCUAAAUUACACUACAAUACAGCUAAAAUUACACCAACGAAUGCACUGUGAAUUCAUAUACAAGCCACAGUAAAAAUAAACAUUACAAGAAACUAAGAAGUGGUGGAGAAAAUCAUGACACUACGACAUGCUCAGGACAAUAUACUAUCCGCACCAACGGGGACAACGAAAACACAAAGCAACUGAAUCUCUAGUUCCUAAAAUGACAUAUCCAAACUUGAGAAAAUCAAAGCACACAUACAGGGCAGAGCGAUCUUACAUCAAGCUACAACUGAAGGAUGCAAAAUCCAACGCCGAACUAGUGCAUGUAGCUAAAAAAGGGGAAAAGCAUGAACACUUACAUGCUAAAAAUGGGAAUUACAUACCAAAUCCACUAAGAAUUACAGUGUAAAUUCACUAAGAAUUACACUGUAAACCCCCUAGGAAUUACACUAUAGAAUCUACUAGGAAUUACACUGUAAAAUCCAGUGAGAAUUAC
rnacentral:lncRNA from 1 species